UUCGCGAAAAAUAUCGAAAACAGCAUUUCAUUCAUUUCACUAUCAGGAAGAACAGAAGUAAUUAUCGAGCAAUUUUGAUGAACAAGGUCUCAUUUUAAAGACGAAGGUUUAAUCUACGUUGCCUUUUCAGUGGACUUUUGAAAAAGCUUUUUAUUUGUACAUAAACAAUGCUUGAAAAAAUACCAUUUUUUAAUACGAUUUUUUCAAAGAAAAUGAAGGUUUUCAAAAUUCCGCUUUAACAGCGCUGUAGAUUAAACUUUUAUCUUUAAAAUGAGACUUUGUUCAUUAAAAUCGAUCAAGAAUUAUGCCUGAUCUUAUUGAUGCCGUAAACAAUUAAAAUACCAGAGAUAAUGAAUAGCCUUAAUAAGUAUAUUAAUUUAUAUUAAUAAUUAUUAAUGAUUUAUUGUAAAAAUAAGUAAAUAAGAUAUAAAUAAUACCUAAAUAUCUUAAAUACUAUUUAUAUUAAUAUUUGUCAAAAAUUGUAUUUACUGUGAAAGUGAUCAAAGCGCCCUUAUUUUUUCUGUCAUAGACUCUGCUUUCUGUGUUUCUUGGAUUUCUUACUACAGUACUCAUGAUUAUAUGUAGCUUGUUUUCAUGUUGACUUCAAUUAGUGUAAUAAAUGCUUAUUAUAUAUCAUAUCGUAUCUUAUUUGUAUCAUUUACUGAAUCUUCUAACAAGAUUUUGAACCUAGAAACAAUAUAAGUAAAUGAUAUACAUUAAUUUAAAACUAACCUCUAAACAUGAAUUUAACUGAGAAUAUCCAAUAUAUCAAGAAUCUAAACGAAUCAAAUCAUGAAUAAUGGAAUUUUAAAAAUGGAAAAACUGAUUUAUGAUGAUCUGAUGAAACUAUAAUUCAAAAUGAAGAAACCAAUUGGAAUUAACAAAAUUGCUCAACCGUUACAUUGCUCUGAUAUAUUGUUUAUAGAAAUCUGUUUACAGAAGUCUGCUUCAAAAAUCUCUUACAUUAUUUAAACAAAUAAUAAGAAGUUGAUCCAGAAAUGUAUAUCUCUUUAUAAAUUGUUUCAUUUUCCAUUUAUCUUUGCAAAAUUUUUUAUUUCUUGAAAUGGAAAUGAAAAUAGCCUGUUACACUUUGAUUUAUGGAGAGAUGCUCAGAAAAAAGGCUCAAAUUGUACAACCCGUUUUUCUUUAGUGGAACAACAAUUGAGUACUUUGGAAUGAAAAAAACAGCUGAUAGUGUUACCAACCAAAGGAACAGACGAAAGAUCACGUUUAAUAAACAACCAAAUCAUUGAGGUACAGAUCGUAGAAAUUAACGUCUGGGAAAUACUUUUUCUGCGAAAAUAAGGAAAACAAGAAAAAGAAAUAAAUACGAUGAAGAAAUACUCCAUAGUGCAACAAAUUAGACUAAAGUUAUGUAUCAUAUAUCUAUUUGUUCAUAUAAAUUCUGAUGUAUGUUGUUACUUUUAAUUACGUUAUAAUAAGCCAUCAGGAUAACGUCAUUUCUUAAUAUUCGUUCGAAGCUCCAUGACAUAUAUGAAUCAGGUAUUCAUCAGUUAAUUGAAGAUCUUGUAUCAAUGCGUCAUAUCAAAAAAUUCAUGACAUUAAUGCAUGCACAAAUUAAAAAAGAGAAAGACUCAAGAAAUUAGAUCACAUAAAGUGAUACUGAAUAAUGUAACGGUUGUAAAAGUGAAGCUAUGAAAGCAGCGUAAAUAUAAUCAAUUGUAUGCAUUAAAUUAGUAGAAAUUGUGGAGAAGAUAUAUUCUGGAAAAAAUACUUUACUACAAAUGAUACUUCAAGAGAAUAUUUGCUUCUUUAAUCAGACAGAACGUAAUCUUCGGUCAUAGCAUGGAUAAUUCUUAUUGCAAGCAAACUAUUUAGGCCUGCUAAUUGAAUGAGAAUAUUGUUUUGUUUUUUUAUAAUGAUAUAACGUUGGAAGAGAGAUAGGUUUGAGCAGUAGCCAAUGUGCUCUUAUAAAUCUCGCUAGAGCUGUCUAUGCUGAUGUGGAUCUUUAUCUAUUGUUGAAAAUUCUUCUUCUUGUUCAUAAGUUUUAAUUUUGCAUUGCUAAAGACAAACCUCAUCUAAUGCUUUCCAAUUCUCUCUGUUCUGUGCUAGAUUUAUUUAAUUGCUGCCUGCUGUUAAUUUAGUAUCAUCUUUCUAUCUUUUGUGGAAUCAUUCAACAUUUCUUCUUUUCUUCUAUCAUAUCUAUUUGAAAUUUUAAGCAUUGCAUAUACGGAUAUCUGAAAAAUAAAACUAAAAUUUUAGUGACGCAUUAGUUGCAGUUUCUAUAGUGUAUAGGUCAAAUGAUCGCAUGGCUUAGUUUAGAGCGGUGUACGGAAAUCUGAAUUUUAAUAGUCUCCAAGCUUCCAGUUUUGACUUUAUCAAAUUUAUAAUAGAGAAAAUGGAACUCGAAAAGAAUGAAGAAUUCACGUAUGGAGGGGAAAUCGAAGAUUUGAAAGGCAUGGUAAUUAAAAAUAUAAAUGGAUCAUCUACGAAAACAUUGGCACUUGUUGAUGUGAUAAAGGUCAUAGGUCUAUUAAGCCUUACAUCUUUUAUUUCAAGACGAGUAGGAGUGUUUUAUUGCUAUUGAUAUUAUACUCUCAGUUUUUUUACGAAUAGCAAUCAGUAAUGCCAACAUCGAGGAAACAUAAAUUUGACCUCUAUUUGCAUGGAAAAGAUCGUUGGAUUACAUGAAAAUAAUUUAUGUUUGUAGCGGGCUAACAGCUUUAAAACAACGGUUUUUAUAAAUGUUUUCUUACUAUAGAGUUUGAUUACACGCUUCCAGAAAACUGCAUGCCAGCAUAUUUCAUAGAAUUAUAUGCUUAGUCGUAUCUCAGACAGGUAAAUUUAUUGAAUAUUCUUUUUCAACGUCAAUAAAUUUUUAGCCUUUUAAAUUUUCCAAAAAUACUGGUGUCCUUGAUACAGUAUGUCUUAUUUUAUAAUUCUUAGUAUUGGACUGAUAACGAUAAUAAUAGGAAGUAUAAACUCAUUGGCUUCUUCUAGAUUUUUAUAUUAAUUAUAAAGUUAAACAAUUGAAAGAAAUAAGUAGAUUAGUGUAAUGCUAAUGUUUAAGUUUUCUCAUUAAUUGAUUAUCUUCUUAUUUCCAAAAGCUUAUUCACCCGUAUCAUAUUAACGCAGCGCUUCAAAAUUUACCAACAAUUAGAGCAUUAAACAUUAAAAAAGUUUUCAUCAACGAAUUCGAAAACUUUCAAGAGAUCUGCUUGCUCCAUUUUCAUCUGUGUUUCAUGUGCUUUCAACAUUUACAUCAAAUUAGUCUCUUUGGUUUAUAACUCGAUCAUAAUCGUAUUCCUUCUCUUGAAGAACACAGUAAUCAAUGAUGUUGGAUUAUUGAUCACGUAAAUGAUUAUACUUGUGAAUAUGAUACGGAAAGAUGUGAAACAGACAAUCAAAGUAAUAUAUCUGUUUUCAACCUCGAUCAAAGGAAUUCUUGAGUAUAAUCAUUUACAGGAAAAACUAAUGUUGAAUAGUGAUCUAAAAUACAAAACAGUAAAAUAUUGGCCAAAGUACAGCCUUGUGAAAUUUAAAAGCAUGAGGAAAAAGUACAAAAAUAUUUUAAAGGUUAGUUUAAACUGAUUUUAAAUUGAAAUUAGGACUAUUUAUUACCCUUGAUUUUAUAAUGAUUUAUACCAUCCAUAAGCACAGGCACAAUUCUUGUCCAAUUUUAAUGAACAAGGUCUCAUUUUAAAAACGAAGAUUUAAUCUAUCGCGUAUUGUUUUCGAAUUUUUGAAAAAUGUUUUUAUUCGUGCAUGAACUAUUCUCGGAAAAUACAAAUAAAAAUAAAAAUUUUUUAACAAGAUUUAAAAAAAAAAAAUAAAGCUUUUUCAAAAAUUCGGAAACAAUACGAAAGAGAUUUUUUUUAUGUGGCUUCGUGUAUCUGUGUACGUGUGCGUUUUUUUUCUUCAUAACUGUUUUUUUAUAAUAGAAUUAGAAAAAUAAAAAUAUAGUAUAUACUUCAAAGCCCUUCUAAUUUUUGUCGAUCUUAUUAUCAGUUAUUUCUUAGUUAUUUCUUUUUUUUUCUUUAACUGACUAAAAUCUAAACGUUCUAUAUUCUUUAAGGAUUGAAAAAUCGAGUAUCAUUUUUUUACUGCGAUUUAUGUAUGUAUGUAUAUACAUAUAUGUACAUAUAUGUGUAUGUGUGUAUAUAUAUAUAUUUAAAUACGCACAAAAUGUUUGCAUUCAUAUUUAUUAAUAAUCGCUGUUUAAUCUUCUAAGUUCGUCAUUUAUAAAGAUACGCGUUAAUGAUUGAACGUCGAACUUGCGAAAAGAGAUUAGAAAAGACACACAUAAUCUCUCUCUCUUUCUCUCCCUCUCCCUCGCUCUUUCUCUCUUCUCUCAGAAUAAUAGAGGUUUAAAAAUAAGUAAAUAGUUGAAUAGUGGCGAUAGAUCGUUUUAUAAAAGCUAAUUAGUAUUCGUACGUUGAUUCUCAAGGGUUUGUCUAGUUCCUACCCUUCAAAUAUCAAUGCAAUACUCAUGGGUAAACACGGUCUUCAGGACAAAGGACGACGCAUGAGAUUGGUCAAACAUUUCGAACGGACUAUGUACACAAUACCAAUAAGAAUAUUGCUUUUCUAUUCCAGUUCGAAAAAAAUCUAGUCAGUCGCAUUCAAGCAUUCAGACUCAUCAGUAAGACAACCGAGUCUUAACAAUAUCACUGACUAUGCCUCAAAUAGAAGUAUUCAGCACAAUCUAAAUCGUUAUUACACAAUAACACAUCACAAUUGUAUCAUACUUCAAUAAAUAUACUUUAUUGAAGUGAUAACUUAAAUUCACGUUAUAUUCAUUAAUGUGUAUCUACCUCACAAACUUCACGGGAUUCUUCAAAAAAAUUCGCCUUUUUUCAUUAAUUUACGGAAACAUGGCGAGCAAUAUUUUACUGAUGGCCUUCAUUGGUAUACUAGACUUGUUCCGCCGCCCUUAUUCUUCGCAACCAGUGGGUCUAUAAUUCUGAUGAUUAGGAAGAAACGGAUGAAGAUUCUCCGUGCAAAUCGACUAUCAUCGCUAUUGCGGUUUGAGACCCAUAUCUGAAAACUCUCUCGUAGUUGUGCCCCUCAUACAAAAAAAAAAAAAUAUAUAUAUAUAUAUAUAAAGUAUAAUGAAAUAUAAAGUAUAAUGAAAUAUAAAGUAUAAUAAAAUAUAUAUAUAAAAUAA